CUGACGCAUGCGCGCUGGCGGCCCCGAGCGCGCGUGAACGGAAGGCAACGCCCCCGUACGUGCGCGCGCGCGCGGGCGUAACCCCAGCUAUCGGCUCGGUCUCCUCCAGCCAGUGGCCCUUCCUCCCUCGUCAGUCCCCAUCGCCCGGGGGAUUGUGCCCCACCAUCUUCUGGAUCAGUCGGGGAGCCGGGCUGUGAGAAUGCAUGAUCCCGAGUAGAGGGUGAUCCGUCACGUCCAACCACAGAGAUCCAGGUCCUCCAGGAUUCUAGAGCGUCCGGCCUGAAGCUGCCACUGACUUCCGGUGGCUGGUCCUCUCCGCGCAGCUUCCGGCGUCCCUGGGCCUCGGCUGACGGUUUCCCGUGUCCGGCGCGUUGUCUCCGGGCGGCGGCUGUGUCCCACGGCUUCCGCUGGGUGGGUCGCGGCGGGGCUGAGGGGCAGCGGGUGGGUCGUCCGGCCUCGGCCUCUCGGGCCAGCAGAGCCCGCGCUGGAGACCAGGUGCCCUCGCCCCCUCCAGAGCCCCGUAAUUCGUUCAUUCGUCCAGCACGUGCUUAGCGACCACCGUUCCCGCUCGGCCCGGUGUCCAGGUGGUGGAGGCGACGUGGUGGGCAGUGGGAGCGGGGGGAAGGUGUUAAGCAGGGGCUCGAGGUGGGGCUGGAAGGAGGAAGGUUCUGGAGUGCGGACUCCACAGGUGGCUUUCUCCACCAACUGCGAAGAGCGGGAAGGGCCGAGCUCGAGCCGGGGAAACAGGGAGGCGGAGGCUGGGAGGCCGAGGAGCAGAGGAGCCAGUGUAUUGAAUUAAACGAAAGAAUUUACCAGCUCCUCAGAAGCCCUUCUCUUUUCUAGUGGUGACAGUUUCUUUUUGUUCACUCUUUUCCAUACUUUUGCACUGAAUUUUAAGAAGUUUGUUAGAAUCUAAACAUUAAGGUAGAAAAGUAGAUAGUACUGCAUUUUUAAAAACUCAACAAAGAAACAUGUAUUUAGGAGUAUUAGGUCAGCCCCAGGAUAAAUAAAUAUCUAGUAUUUAGACAAAGAUCAUAUGGGCCUCCUGAGUUUAAAACUAUAAAUUUGUUUCUGAUUUUCCUGACAGCUUAGUAAAAAGCCGAAUUAUCUGUCACACGAUUUGCAUUGAACAUUAAUAAAGAAAUCAUAUUCAUGGGAAGCGGA